rnacentral:rRNA from 1 species
UACGUAGGUGGCAAGCGUUAUCCGGAAUUAUUGGGCGUAAAGAGCGCGCAGGUGGUUAAUUAAGUCUGAUGUGAAAGCCCACGGCUUAACCGUGGAGGGUCAUUGGAAACUGGUUGACUUGAAUGCAGAAGAGGGAAGUGGAAUUCCAUGUGUAGCGGUGAAAUGCGUAGAGAUAUGGAGGAACACCAGUGGCGAAGGCGGCUUCCUGGUCUGCAACUGACACUGAGGCGCGAAAGCGUGGGGAGCAAACAGG